GGGUUGUGAGGUUAAGCGACUAAGCGUACACGGUGGAUGCCCUGGCAGUCAGAGGCGAUGAAGGGCGUGCUAAUCUGCGAUAAGCGCCGGUAAGGUGAUAUGAACCGUUAUAACCGGCGAUACCCGAAUGGGGAAACCCAGUGUGACUCGUCACACUAUCAUUAACUGAAUCCAUAGGUUAAUGAGGCGAACCGGGGGAACUGAAACAUCUAAGUACCCCGAGGAAAAGAAAUCAACCGAGAUUCCCCCAGUAGCGGCGAGCGAACGGGGAGGAGCCCAGAGCCUGAAUCAGCAUGUGUGUUAGUGGAAGCGUCUGGAAAGGCGCGCGAUACAGGGUGACAGCCCCGUACACAAAAGCGCACAUGCUGUGAGCUCGAUGAGUAGGGCGGGACACGUGGUAUCCUGUCUGAAUAUGGGGGGACCAUCCUCCAAGGCUAAAUACUCCUGACUGACCGAUAGUGAACCAGUACCGUGAGGGAAAGGCGAAAAGAACCCCGGCGAGGGGAGUGAAAAAGAACCUGAAACCGUGUACGUACAAGCAGUGGGAGCCCCACCACUAAGCCAGUGGUGAACUCCACAUACGCAUCCUUUGCUGAGGAUGCGGUUAACGGAGCGAAAGCGACGUUCAACCGCAAAAGAAGCAGAGGGGGCUUAGUGGUGGGGUGACUGCGUACCUUUUGUAUAAUGGGUCAGCGACUUAUAUUCUGUAGCAAGGUUAACCGAAUAGGGGAGCCGGAGGGAAACCGAGUCUUAAUUGGGCGUUAAGUUGCAGGGUAUAGACCCGAAACCCGGUGAUCUAGCCAUGGGCAGGUUGAAGGUUGGGUAACACUAACUGGAGGACCGAACCGACUAAUGUUGAAAAAUUAGCGGAUGACCUGUGGCUGGGGGUGAAAGGCCAAUCAAACCGGGAGAUAGCUGGUUCUCCCCGAAAGCUAUUUAGGUAGCGCCUCGUGAAUUCAUCUCCGGGGGUAGAGCACUGUUUCGGCUAGGGGGCCAUCCCGGCUUACCAACCCGAUGCAAACUGCGAAUACCGGAGAAUGUUAUCACGGGAGACACACGGCGGGUGCUAACGUCCGUCGUGAAGAGGGAAACAACCCAGACCGCCAGCUAAGGUCCCAAAGUCAUGGUUAAGUGGGAAACGAUGUGGGAAGGCCCAGACAGCCAGGAUGUUGGCUUAGAAGCAGCCAUCAUUUAAAGAAAGCGUAAUAGCUCACUGGUCGAGUCGGCCUGCGCGGAAGAUGUAACGGGGCUAAACCAUGCACCGAAGCUGCGGCAGCGACACUCAGGUGUUGUUGGGUAGGGGAGCGUUCUGUAAGCCUGCGAAGGUGGCCUGUGAGGGUUGCUGGAGGUAUCAGAAGUGCGAAUGCUGACAUAAGUAACGAUAAAGCGGGUGAAAAGCCCGCUCGCCGGAAGACCAAGGGUUCCUGUCCAACGUUAAUCGGGGCAGGGUGAGUCGACCCCUAAGGCGAGGCCGAAAGGCGUAGUCGAUGGGAAACGGGUUAAUAUUCCCGUACUUGGUGUUACUGCGAAGGGGGGACGGAGAAGGCUAUGUUGGCCGGGCGACGGUUGUCCCGGUUUAAGCGUGUAGGCUGGUUUUCCAGGCAAAUCCGGAAAAUCAAGGCUGAGGCGUGACGACGAGGCACUACGGUGCUGAAGCAACAAAUGCCCUGCUUCCAGGAAAAGCCUCUAAGCAUCAGGUAACACGAAAUCGUACCCCAAACCGACACAGGUGGUCAGGUAGAGAAUACCAAGGCGCUUGAGAGAACUCGGGUGAAGGAACUAGGCAAAAUGGUGCCGUAACUUCGGGAGAAGGCACGCUGACAUGUAGGUGAAGUGAUUUACUCAUGGAGCUGAAGUCAGUCGAAGAUACCAGCUGGCUGCAACUGUUUAUUAAAAACACAGCACUGUGCAAACACGAAAGUGGACGUAUACGGUGUGACGCCUGCCCGGUGCCGGAAGGUUAAUUGAUGGGGUCAGCGCAAGCGAAGCUCCUGAUCGAAGCCCCGGUAAACGGCGGCCGUAACUAUAACGGUCCUAAGGUAGCGAAAUUCCUUGUCGGGUAAGUUCCGACCUGCACGAAUGGCGUAAUGAUGGCCAGGCUGUCUCCACCCGAGACUCAGUGAAAUUGAACUCGCUGUGAAGAUGCAGUGUACCCGCGGCAAGACGGAAAGACCCCGUGAACCUUUACUAUAGCUUGACACUGAACAUUGAGCCUUGAUGUGUAGGAUAGGUGGGAGGCUUUGAAGUGUGGACGCCAGUCUGCAUGGAGCCGACCUUGAAAUACCACCCUUUAAUGUUUGAUGUUCUAACGUGGACCCGUGAUCCGGGUUGCGGACAGUGUCUGGUGGGUAGUUUGACUGGGGCGGUCUCCUCCUAAAGAGUAACGGAGGAGCACGAAGGUUGGCUAAUCCUGGUCGGACAUCAGGAGGUUAGUGCAAUGGCAUAAGCCAGCUUGACUGCGAGCGUGACGGCGCGAGCAGGUGCGAAAGCAGGUCAUAGUGAUCCGGUGGUUCUGAAUGGAAGGGCCAUCGCUCAACGGAUAAAAGGUACUCCGGGGAUAACAGGCUGAUACCGCCCAAGAGUUCAUAUCGACGGCGGUGUUUGGCACCUCGAUGUCGGCUCAUCACAUCCUGGGGCUGAAGUAGGUCCCAAGGGUAUGGCUGUUCGCCAUUUAAAGUGGUACGCGAGCUGGGUUUAGAACGUCGUGAGACAGUUCGGUCCCUAUCUGCCGUGGGCGCUGGAGAACUGAGGGGGGCUGCUCCUAGUACGAGAGGACCGGAGUGGACGCAUCACUGGUGUUCGGGUUGUCAUGCCAAUGGCACUGCCCGGUAGCUAAAUGCGGAAGAGAUAAGUGCUGAAAGCAUCUAAGCACGAAACUUGCCCCGAGAUGAGUUCUCCCUGAGACUUUAAGUCUCCUGAAGGAACGUUGAAGACGACGACGUUGAUAGGCCGGGUGUGUAAGCGCAGCGAUGCGUUGAGCUAACCGGUACUAAUGAACCGUGAGGCUUAACCUUACAACGCCGAAG
rnacentral:rRNA from 1 species